GUGGCGAACGGGUGAGUAACACGUAGGCAACCUGCCCAAAAGAGGGGGAUAACACUUGGAAACAGGUGCUAAUACCGCAUAACCAUGAACACCGCAUGAUGUUCAUGUAAAAGACGGCUUUUGCUGUCACUUUUGGAUGGGCCUGCGGCGUAUUAACUUGUUGGUGGGGUAACGGCCUACCAAGGUGAUGAUACGUAGCCGAACUGAGAGGUUGAUCGGCCACAUUGGGACUGAGACACGGCCCAAACUCC
rnacentral:rRNA from 1 species